CCUACGGGUGGCAGCAGUCGAGAAUCUUUCACAAUGGGGGAAACUCUGAUGGUGCGACGCCGCGUGGGGGAAUGAAGGCCUUGGGAUUGUAAACUCCUGUUAUGUGGGAGCAAAUUAAUAAGAUAGUACCACACGAGGUAGAGACGGCUAACUCUGUGCCAGUAGCCGCGGUAAUACAGAGGUGUCAAGCGUUGUUCGGAUUCAUUGGGCGUAAGGCGUGCGUAGGUUGUUUCGUAAGUCGGGUGUGAAAGGCGCGGGCUCAACCCGCGAACGGCACAUGAUACUGCGAGACUAGAGUACAGGAGGGGGGACCGGAAUUCGCGGUGUAGCAGUGAAAUGCGUAGAUAUCGCGAAGAACACUGAUGGCGAAGGCAGGUCACUGGACAUUAACUGACGCUGAGGCACGAAGGCCAGGGUAGCGAACGGGAUUAGAUACCCUAGUAGUC
rnacentral:rRNA from 1 species